GCCACUUGUACCCUAUUCCCAGAGAGUUAAGCUCAGCCCUAAUGAGUUCACUCGUCUUGUGCUCCUCAAAUCCUAAUUCUGGGUACUGGUGGAUUUUCCUCCGUACCCCUCUCAUCCACUCGAAGAACUCCCUCUCCCUCGCCGAUUCCAGCAGCUCCCUGCUCAGCCCCUCCAUCUCCAACCCGGAACCACUGCCUACAGCCCUCGCAUUCCGACAGAGGAGUGGCCAUAGCAACAUCAACCACCACCACAUCAACUCCAUUUCAUACCCAAAAAUUUUCAAACAGAAGAGAGCAUAUACCAGUUUCUAGAGACCUUCAACAGCAUGGCUUUCCAAGUAAGAGAUUGCAACGGCAGCAUGAAGAGCUGCACCAAUGG